AUUUCUUUAAAUCCUCACAACAUUUUAUCAGUGUUGGAACUGUAUCCUCUUAUCAGUUGGACCAUCUCUAGAAAACACAAAGGGAGCUGCAAGGAAAUCCUGGCCCACUGCUGGACUCUAAAUGUGGCUGACACUGAUCCGUUCAGUGUUAAUCAUUGGCGUAUCCUUAUAUUGUUUCAAAAUUCAGCAUCCACGUGACUGGGCCUAUAUAAAGGUAAAGUACUUUUUGGUAAAGUACUUAUAACAAGUCACAAAAUCAGCAAAUAAAGCUUGCUCAGUCUAAAUGGCAUCACGUGUAGAAAGGUAAUGAACAGCACUAAGAAGAACACGACAAGUAAAUGAGUGGUUAAGACAAGGCCUAUGAGAGCUCUAAUGAGGAAGACCUCAUUGUAGGCUGAUGUGGCAAGAAGAGCUUUGCAGAGGGGUGGGCCCUAAUGGGCCUAUUAGGAUCAGCAGGAAGAAAGGGAAUGAGAACUUUGAAAGAGGAAAGGAAUGUGGCAGCAGGAGGCCAGGAUAGCUUGAGAGGAGAACUGAAACCUUGUGAACAGUAAUGAUCACUGGUUAGUUAACAUUUAUGGAGCCAUUUUCUGUGCCUGGCACAUUUUUUGGCACUCUAUAUACGGGUCCUAUUUGACACAUACCUGUGACCUUGGGA
rnacentral:lncRNA from 10 species